rnacentral:rRNA from 1 species
AUGGCGUCCGGCCAUUUCCAAGUGGAAGCGGCGCUGCUGAUGCUUCCGCUGGUAAUGCUGGUGCUCAACUCGGGCGGCGGCAGCGCUGCUGGUGCAGUGGUGCCGGCGGUGAUCGUGUUCGGCGACUCGACGGUGGACACGGGCAACAACAACCACAUCGGCACGACGCUGCGGUCUGACUUCCCGCCCUACGGCCGCGACAUGCCGGGCGGUGCCCGCGCCACGGGGCGGUUCGGCAACGGGCGGCUGCCUCCGGACUUCAUCUCCGAGGCGCUGGGCCUGCCGCCGCUCGUCCCGGCGUACCUCGACCCGGCCUACGGCAUCGGCGACUUCGCGCGCGGCGUCUGCUUCGCCUCCGCCGGCACCGGCGUCGACAACGCCACCGCCGGCGUCCUGUCAGUGAUCCCGCUGUGGAAGGAGGUGGAGUACUACAAGGAGUACCAGCUCCGGCUGCGCGCGUACGCCGGCGCCGAGCGCGCCCGCGCCAUCGUCCGCGGCGCGCUCCACGUCGUCAGCAUCGGCACCAACGACUUCCUCGAGAACUACUACAUGCUCGGCACGGGCCGCUUCGCCGAGUACACGGUGGCCGAGUUCUCCGACUUCCUCGUCGCCGGCGCGCGCCGUUUCCUGUCGGAGAUCCAUCGCCUCGGCGCGCGCCGCGUCACCUUCGCGGGGCUCGCCGCCAUCGGCUGCCUCCCGCUGGAGCGCGCCGAGAACAUGAUCCAUGGCGGCGGCUGCAUCGAGGAGUACAACCGGGUGGCCAGGGAGUACAACGCCAAGGUGGAGGCCAUGCUGGGGGGGCUCCGCGCCGAGCUCCCGGACCUCAGGCUCGCCUACGUGCCCGUCUACGACACCAUGCUCGACCUCGUCACCAACCCGGCCAAGUUCGGGCUGGAGAACGUGGAGGAAGGGUGCUGCGCCACGGGGAGGUUCGAGAUGGGGUUCAUGUGCAACGACGAGGCUCCCAUGACCUGCGCUGACGCCGACAAGUUCCUCUUCUGGGACGCAUUCCACCCCACGCAGAAGGUGAACCGGAUCAUGGCCAACCACACGAUCGACAUCUGCUACCAGCAAGGCCUCCUAUGA